CCUACGGGUGGCAGCAGUGGGGGAUAUUGCACAAUGGGGGGAACCCUGAUGCAGCGACGCCGCGUGGGUGAAGGAGCGUUUCGGCGCGUAAAGCCCUAUCGGCAGGGAAGAAGAUGACGGUACCUGACCAAGAAGCCCCGGCUAACUACGUGCCAGCAGCCGCGGUAAUACGGAGGAUGCGAGCGUUAUCCGGAUUUAUUGGGUUUAAAGGGUGCGUAGGCGGGAUGCCAAGUCAGCGGUAAAAAUGCGGUGCUCAACGCCGUCGAGCCGUUGAAACUGGCGUUCUUGAGUGGGCGAGAAGUAUGCGGAAUGCGUGGUGUAGCGGUGAAAUGCAUAGAUAUCACGCAGAACUCCGAUUGCGAAGGCAGCAUACCGGCGCCCUACUGACGCUGAGGCACGAAAGCGUGGGUAUCGAACAGGAUUAGAUACCCUAGUAGUC
rnacentral:rRNA from 1 species